AAACGAAAGGCCCUCACGAAAAAGCACUCAAGCGCGCCCCCGCGCGGACACCCUUGUCUACCGAACCACGUUGCCUCGGCGGCCCCUUCCCCCGGUGAUCGCCCCGGGGGACCGCCGGGGGCGCUCGCCGGCGCCCUGCUGCGCCGACGGCCCCGGGCCCGCGCCCGCCCGAGGAGUUCGACCGAACCUCUGGCGAUCCGUGAGCGAGUCUGAGUCGGCUGGACAAUCGUCAAAACUUUCAGCAGCGGAUCUCUUGGUUCCCGCAUCGAUGAAGAACGCAACGAAAUGCGAUAAGUAAUGUGAAUUGCAGAAUUCCGUGAAUCAUCGAAUCUUUGAACGCACCUGGCGCCCUCUGGUAUUCCGGGGGGCAUGCCUGUCCGAGCGUCAUUGCAACCCUCAAGCGCGGCUUGUGUGAUGGGCGCGCGUCCCCCCCGAACUGGGCGGGACGGGCCCGAAAGGCAGUGGCGGCGUCGCGGUCAUCCUCGAUCGCCCGAGUGCAUGGGGCUCAGUCACGCACGACGGCGAGGACCGGCGCCGGCCGAACCCCGCGACACCCCGUGUGUCGCUCUUCGACGGUUGACCUCGGAUCAGGUAGGGAUACCCGCUGAACUUAAGCAUAUCAGUAAGCGGAGGAACCACUACCAUGACGGCGGGGAUGCCUCCGGCGCCUCCUUGCGGCACUGGGUAUGGCUAACAUUCCCUCGAUGGCGU
rnacentral:rRNA from 1 species